UGUCGAUUGGAGCAUUUCGUUGGAAAGAGCCUUUUAUCAAUUCCAUUUGUAUUAUUAUAAAGGUAACCAACUCGGAUACACUGAACUAGAAAACGAGCGUUAUCAGCAACAAGGAUGUUAUUUAGUUGUAUCUAAUUUAUCUAGUGACGGACAAUUUUUUCAAUUUCUUUUACCGGCUACUUAAGUGCACAAUCCGACUCGUUGGUUCAAGUAGAACUCGCCUAUUUCGUGUCGGUUGCAGGCAAAUUAUAGACUUUCCAAAAUGCCUUCGUCCUUUUAUUCUCUGAGUCCUGGAGAAUUGAGCACUAUUUCAGACGGAGAACUGGAUGGAACCGAUUACCUUUUGAGUAGUACGAUUCAUCUGGAUGAUUGUGCCUAUCUGGGAUUCAAUUUUCUCGCAGACUCCGACUCACCUAUGUCGGCAACAGGGGGCUGCGGGUCAAUAGGCGGAAAUGCCGCUUUGACCGCUACUCUUUGCCACGCAGGAACCGGAGGAGUGCCAGCCGCUGCUCUUGGACCGCAGCAUUGUGCUAUAUGCGGUGAUAGAGCAACCGGAAAACAUUACGGAGCAGCAUCUUGCGAUGGUUGCAAAGGAUUCUUCAGAAGGAGUGUCAGAAAAAACCAUUUAUAUACAUGCAGAUUCAGUAGAAGUUGUGUUGUUGAUAAGGAUAAAAGAAAUCAGUGCCGAUACUGCAGGUUACGAAAAUGUUUUAAAGCUGGCAUGAAAAAAGAAGCUGUACAGAAUGAAAGGGAUAGGAUAAGUUGCAGACGUCCAAGCCACGAAGAAACUAAUCAAAAUAAUGGUCUAUCGGUCAGUUCAUUGCUAAAUGCAGAAAUGUUAUCCAGGCAAGUGGGAGCAGCUUUGGAACAAAUGGGCCCAACUCCAGUUAAUGACUAUGAUUUAUCGGGAAAGCAGCAAGCUAAUUUAAAUGAUAUUUGCGACUCUAUGAAGCAACAACUGCUAAUUUUGGUUGAAUGGGCAAAGUAUAUUCCAGCAUUUACUGAGCUACAGUUAGACGAUCAGGUUGCGUUAUUAAGGGCCCACGCAGGAGAACAUUUACUUCUAGGAUUAGCCAGGCGAUCAAUGCACCUAAAAGAUGUUCUUCUUCUAGGAAACAAUUGCAUAAUUACAAAGCAAUGCUCAGGUAAAGUGUCUCCAGUGCGCGAUCCUUCAGCAGACCUCAGCAUUUCACGAGUGGGUAGUCGCAUUAUGGACGAGUUAGUUAAGCCAAUGACAGACGUUCAAAUCGACGAUACGGAGUUUGCUUGCUUGAAGGCGAUUGUGUUUUUCGAUCCAAAUGCAAAAGGCCUGAGUAGCACAGAUCGCAUCAAGCAGCUACGAUUUCAAAUUCAGAUCAACCUGGAAGAUUAUAUAAGCGAUAGACAGUAUGAUAGUAGAGGACGUUUCGGAGAAUUACUUCUAACUUUGCCGCCUCUGCAAUCGAUCACUUGGCAAAUGAUUGAGCAAAUUCAGUUUGCAAAAUUAUUUGGAGUCACGCACAUCGACAGUUUGUUGCAAGAAAUGUUGUUGGGAGGUAAGACGUUCAUAUCCGAUUUUAGGUGGCCUCGACAACAGCCCCACCUUGAUCGUACCGAACCAAGUGUCUUCGCCUCAACAACAUCUCAAUAAUAACGGUUACCAAACUAGUGAUUCGACUGAUAGUCCUGUAACUUCACCCACCACUAUGCCAAGUAGUCCAGCUGAUCAGCUUAUCAAUUGCGGCAAUAUGGCCAGUCCUCAACAAACAGUACCCACAGCAACAUCUAGUGUCUUAAUUAUGAGGGAUAUUGGACCAAUGGACGAUUCCUAUAGUUUAGCAUUCAAACCAGAACCAAUAAAAGAGGAACAACAUGGUUUUUAAAGAAUUUAUUACGAUAGUGACGUUCGUUUUUAUGAACCAAUGCACGAUUGUAAGGGCAUCGCAAUGCAAUUGACGUUUAAAACUAUAAUUUUCAAGUGAUAAGUUUUUUGGCGGUAUAUUAAGCGAAACCACUGUUAUUAUUGCUCGCAUAUUUAAUUUGAAAAUUACAAAAUGGCUCACAAUUUUAAACCGUUAUGCAACGGGAAUCUUUAAGUCUUCUAAAUACGAUUCUGUAAAACAUCCGUGCUUCAGAAUUGUGGCAAAUGAAAAGUGAGUUUUGAAGCUUGAUGAUUUCAUCACGGCUCAAAUAAAUUAAUGUUGGGCAAAGGUUGAGCAAAUAAUUGCAAUAAAGCGUAUUAGUUUGCCUUCAUAUCAGGACAUAUGUUAAUGCACCUGAAUGUUCUUGUUCGGGGCAUCAGGUAUAUUUUAUUUUACUUUUGAACUUUUAUUCCCUACCGUUUAAAUUAAGACGGAUUCAAUAGUUUAGCAUUCGAACCGGAACCAAUAAAAGUGAAACCAUAUGGUUUUAAAGCGAUGUUUUAAUGAUGGUAAAAUCAAACCGGAGUGACCCAUUUUGGCCUCGAUUUGAAAUAAGAUAAACAAAUAUAAAUCAGGACCACAUACAAAAUGACCGGCAUUUGCAAUGAGCUGCAAAUCCAUGCCUAAGUGUCAUUCAGAUUUUCAUUAAAAACGAAAAUAAUUUCCGAAAAAUUACAUGACAUCAUAGUACAGGAAAAGAGUAAUUUUUUAAAAAACUAUAUAAAUAUUCUGAGAGUUUUUACCGUUUUCACAAUCGUGCGAAAAUGCUAGACAUUGUUCGUCAUAUUAGUACACCAUAUUGGUCGAUUUAUUAUAAGAUCUUUAUGCAUAUUAUGUCCAAUCAUUAAUCCGACUUUAGUCGAUCACUUGUAAAGAAAAUCAACAUAGUGUAAACUAAUAUUCUGUUAAGACCAUUGUUAAAAAACAUGUUUAUAUAUCGAUUUAUCGUGUAUUUCGGUAACUAUUAAAUAUGUUAUAAUUAUUAGGGCUGUGAUUUAUUAUCUAGGACUAGAUUUUUGGAUUCCUAGUACAAAAUGCUCUGAAUAAUAAUAUGUACCUUUUUGUACAUAGUUUACAGAUAAUUGCUACAUUUGCUCAAAAUUCAACCCAUGCCAAAAUUGUUAAUUAUUGUUAAGGCUAUUAUAGAAUAAUGUUAUAUACAUCUGGAAAAAGUAAUUGCCUUACUGUUGUUAAUGUGCAUAAAUAAGUUAGAGAUAGAUUUAUAUGAUAGUAUUUUUUAUAAAAAAAUAUUAAGCUGGUAACAAGAGGGAAAUGACUACUAUACAAGGGAGUUGUUUCGAUAAUUAUAUUUAGUUCGUACUAAUAAUAAUAAAUACAUUUUUAUUGCUAUCUGUUGAUGUUAAAGAAAUUAAUUUAUUUCUUUAUUGAUAACUAGUUUUUAGUGAAAUAUUUGAUUAUUUUGUUUUAUAAUGAUAAUUGCUAUUAUUGAAGGUGACUGUCUUUGGGUUUAAGAAUUAUGUACUUUCUCAGAACAAAUUUUGCUUAUAUUUGACUUUUCCGAGCUAACUACAAACAUAUUUCAAAUGUAAAAAUGCUAUUCGGAAAUGUAUCCGGAUAUUUACUAUAAUACAAGUUGGAUGCUCGCAGAUGAGCCUGGAUGAAUAUUUCUUGACAGUGUUGUUAAUUACUUAUACAUGUCUACAUAGUGUGUUACAAGUGAUGUUUUAUCAAUCUACCUGAUCAAAAUAAGUUUACAUAAGUUUAUUAUAUUUCUAUUAUAUUUAGUAUCACUGUAUAGAUAUUCCAUAUCUACUUUAGCAUGCAAUUAUAAAGGCUGGCGGUGGCAAUAAUUUGUUAAUAUGUUGUUUAAAUACAUCUUUAUAUCAUUAA